GAUGAACGCUAGCGGCAGGCUUAAUACAUGCAAGUCGUGGGGCAGCAGGUUUGUAGCAAUACAGAUGCUGGCGACCGGCAAACGGGUGCGGAACACGUACAGAACCUUCCUUUGAGCGGGGAAUAGCCCAGAGAAAUUUGGAUUAAUACCCCAUAGUAUAAUGAAGUGGCAUCACUUUAUUAUUAAAGAUUUAUCACUCGAAGAUGGCUGUGCGGCUGAUUAGGUAGUUGGCGGGGUAAAGGCCCACCAAGCCUGCGAUCAGUAACUGGUGUGAGAGCACGACUAGUCACACGGGCACUGAGACACGGGCCCGACUCCUACGGGAGGCAGCAGUAAGGAAUAUUGGUCAAUGGAGGCAACUCUGAACCAGCCAUGCCGCGUGGAGGAUGAAGGUCCUCUGGAUUGUAAACUUCUUUUAUAUUGGGACGAAAAAAGGCUUUUCUAAGUCGUCUGACGGUACCAUAUGAAUAAGCACCGGCUAACUCCGUGCCAGCAGCCG
rnacentral:rRNA from 1 species